rnacentral:rRNA from 1 species
UACGAAGGGGGCUAGCGUUGCUCGGAAUUACUGGGCGUAGAGGGCGCGUAGGCGGACAGUUAAGUCAGAGGUGAAAGCCCAGGGCUCAACCCUGGAAUUGCCUUUGAUACUGGCUGUCUUGAGUAUGGGAGAGGUAAGCGGAACUCCGAGUGUAGAGGUGAAAUUCGUAGAUAUUCGGAAGAACACCAGUGGCGAAGGCGGCUUACUGGCCCAUUACUGACGCUGAGGCGCGAAAGCGUGGGGAGCAAACAGG